UACGUAGGUGACCAGCGUUGUCCGGAUUUACUGGGCGUAAAGAGCGCGCAGGCGGUCGUUCAAGUCGAGUGUGAAAGCCCCCCGGCUCAACUGGGGAGGGUCAUUCGAUACUGAUCGACUUGAAGGCAGGAGAGGGAAGUGGAAUUCCCGGUGUAGUGGUGAAAUGCGUAGAUAUCGGGAGGAACACCAGUGGCGAAGGCGACUUCCUGGCCUGUUCUUGACGCUGAGGCGCGAAAAGCUAGGGGAGCAAACGGGG
rnacentral:rRNA from 1 species